UGGUCUGAGAGGUUGAAGCUGCCAGCAUGAUCUGGUGUUUAUUCAAUAGAAUCCCUUUUAACUCGAUCUUCCAAAAUCUUUAUUUUCGAAAUAAUUACUAAUUAGGUUUUUUUUUUUUUUUUUGGAUCUGUUUUUUUAUUUUUUGGUAUAUAUUGAUUGAGGAGAAAUUUCAAAGAUUUGGGUUCAUCGAUCAUCAGGUCAUCUAGUAGCUUCAAUCACUCACCAA
rnacentral:pre_miRNA from 1 species